rnacentral:piRNA from 1 species
CACAAAAACCGGAAGAAAAAC